ACCAAGGCGCUUGAGAGAACUCGGGUGAAGGAACUAGGCAAAAUGGUGCCGUAACUUCGGGAGAAGGCACGCUGACACGUAGGUGAAGUGAUUUACUCAUGGAGCUGAAGUCAGUCGAAGAUACCAGCUGGCUGCAACUGUUUAUUAAAAACACAGCACUGUGCAAACACGAUAGUGGACGUAUACGGUGUGACGCCAGCCCGGUGCCGGAAGGUUAAUUGAUGGGGUCAGCGCAAGCGAAGCUCCUGAUCGAAGCCCCGGUAUACGGCGGCCGUAACUAUAACGGUCCUAAGGUUGCGUAUUUCCUUGUCGGGUAAGUUCUGUCCUGCACGAAUGGCGUUUUGUUGGCCAUGCUGUCUCCUCCCGAGUCUGAGU
rnacentral:rRNA from 1 species